GACGAACGCUGGCGGCGUGCCUAAUACAUGCAAGUUGAGCGCUGAAGGUUGGUACUUGUACCAACUGGAUGAGCAGCGAACGGGUGAGUAACGCGUGGGGAAUCUGCCUUUGAGCGGGGGACAACAUUUGGAAACGAAUGCUAAUACCGCAUAAAAACUUUAAACACAAGUUUUAAGUUUGAAAGAUGCAAUUGCAUCACUCAAAGAUGAUCCCGCGUUGUAUUAGCUAGUUGGUGAGGUAAAGGCUCACCAAGGCGAUGAUACAUAGCCGACCUGAGAGGGGGAUCGGCAACAUGGGAACUGAACAACGGCCAAACUCCUACGGGAGGCAGCAGUAGGGAAUCUUCGGCAAUGGACGAAAGUCUGACCGAGCAACGCCGCGUGAGUGAAGAAGGUUUUCGGAUCGUAAAACUCUGUUGGUAGAGAAGAACGUUGGUGAGAGUGGAAAGCUCAUCAAGUGACGGUAACUACCCAGAAAGGGACGGCUAACUACGUG
rnacentral:rRNA from 1 species